CGUGACGUGCCCGUUCAUAUAUGAACAACGCGCACUCGCUACGUUGCACCCUUUUCAGUUACCGGCGUAAACCGAGUAACAUUUUUGUAGACAUCUGGUGGGAGAAACAGAGCAAAUAUCCAAAAUGGUGAACUUCACUACAGAUCAGAUCCGUGCGAUCAUGGACAAGAAGACGAACAUCAGGAACAUGUCUGUCAUCGCUCAUGUCGACCAUGGCAAGUCUACCCUGACCGACUCCUUGGUGAGCAAGGCCGGUAUCAUUGCUCAAUCCAAGGCAGGAGAGGCACGCUUCACCGACACCAGGAAAGAUGAGCAGGAGCGCUGUAUUACCAUCAAGUCGACAGCCAUCUCCAUGUACUACGAGCUGAGUGACAAGGACAUGACAUUCAUCGAACAGGAAAAGGACGUGAACGAGCGUGGUUUCUUGAUCAACCUCAUCGAUUCCCCAGGCCAUGUUGACUUUUCGUCUGAGGUGACAGCUGCUCUGCGUGUAACUGAUGGAGCUUUGGUUGUUGUGGAUUGUGUCAGUGGUGUCUGUGUGCAGACAGAGACUGUCCUCCGACAAGCCAUUGCUGAGCGCAUCAAGCCAGUUGUGUUCAUGAACAAGAUGGACCGUGCUCUUCUGGAGCUUCAGCUGGAGAUGGAAGAUCUCUACCAAACCUUCCAGAGGAUCGUUGAGAGUAUCAAUGUGAUUGUUGCCACCUAUGCUGACGAGGAUGGACCUAUGGGUAACAUCCAGGUUGCACCAUCAAGGGGAACCGUUGGAUUUGGAUCUGGGCUCCAUGGCUGGGCGUUCACACUGAAGCAGUUUGCUGAGAUCUACGCUUCCAAGUUUAAGAUCGAGCCAGCCAAGCUCAUGAAGAGACUCUGGGGUGACCAAUUCUUCAACCCCAAAGAGAAGAAAUGGAACAAGACUGGAGGUGAAGGCUAUGUUCGUGGUUUCAACCAGUUUGUCUUGGACCCUAUCUACAAGAUGUUUGAUGCAGUCAUGAACUUCAAGAAGCCCGAGACUGAAAACUGCUUGAGAAGCUGAAGGUGCAUCUCAAAACUGAGGAAAAAGAUCUCGAGGGCAAGCCUCUUAUCAAGGUCAUCAUGCGCAACUGGCUGCCAGCUGGUGAAACUAUGCUCCAGAUGAUCACUAUCCAUCUGCCGUCACCCGCCACUGCCCAGAAGUACCGUAUGGAGAUGCUCUACGAAGGACCUCUUGAUGAUCCUGUAGCUAUGGGAAUCAAGACCUGUGACCCCAAGGCUCCUCUCUGUAUGUACGUCUCCAAGAUGGUGCCGACCACAGACAAAGGUCGCUUCUUCGCUUUCGGUCGUGUCUUUUCUGGCACCAUCGGCACUGGCCAGAAAUGUCGCAUCAUGGGACCCAACUUCAUACCAGGCAAGAAGGAGGACUUGUACCUAAAGAACAUCCAGCGGACUAUUCUCAUGAUGGGUCGCUACCAAGAGGCUAUUGAAGAUGUACCAUGCGGUAACAUCUGUGGUCUGGUUGGCGUUGAUCAGUUCUUAGUGAAGACCGGAACCAUCACCACCUAUGAAUAUGCCCAAACAUCAAGGUAUGACACGUUUUCUAGAUCCUUGAAAUUAGUAUUUGAUGUACUGAUUGCAUUUAUCUUGUGCAAUGUUUGACAGACCAUGAAGUUCUCUGUGAGUCCUGUGGUACGUGUAGCUGUGGAGGCGAAGGAUCCCUCUCAGUUGCCCAAGCUUGUCGAAGGACUGAAGCGUCUGGCCAAGUCUGACCCUAUGGUACAGUGUACCAUUGAAGAGUCUGGAGAGCACAUCGUGGCUGGAGCUGGCGAGCUUCAUCUUGAGAUCUGCCUCAAGGAUCUGGAGGAAGAUCAUGCUGGUAUUCCUCUCAAGAAAUCCGACCCAGUCGUGUCUUACCGUGAAGGUGUCACUGCGGAAUCAGACCGAAUGUGUCUAUCCAAGUCACCCAACAAGCACAAUCGUCUCUUCAUGAGAGCAGCACCAUUGCCAGACGGCCUGGCCGAAGAUAUUGACAAUGGAGAAGUCAGUUCCAAGCAAGAUUUCAAACUCCGUAGCCGUUAUUUGAUUGACAAAUAUAACUUUGAGGCCCAAGAAUCCCGUAAGAUCUGGUGCUUUGGCCAGAGGGAACCGGUCCCAACUUGUUGGUCGACUGUGCCAAGGGAGUGCAGUACCCUGAACGAGAUCAAAGACAGCGUCAUUGCAGGAUUCCAGUGGGCUUCGAAGGAGGUCAGUGAAAGCCAUUUUAUCUCUUGACCACAUUUAAUGUUC